UAUUAAAAUAAUAUCUAAUAUUCCAUUCAAAACUUUUGAAAUAUCUUAUAUACCCUUUUUUUUGUUUCAAAUAUACCCCUUGUAUAUUUCUCCGAUAUUCAAAAAUAUUCUUGCUGUUAAUACCAAUUAAGAAUCUCGGGUUAAACACAGGUUAAAUUUUUAUUAUAAUUAAAAAGAGUCAAAUACCUUUUUCUCUAACUAAAGGGCAAAUAAAAAAAGUUUGUGAUAGUAGAAGAGUAUAUUUGAAAAGCUAAAAAGUCAAAAUACAUCAUCAGCCCUUAACUUAAGGACAAAUAAGAAAAGUGAGUGACAUUAGAAUUGUAGAAGGUAUAUUUGAAAGGAAAAAUUAAUAAUUUCAUAAAUAUAACAGUUGUUGCUAAAAUUCAUUAACAGAAUUUAAUUUCUAUAAAUGUAUUUGAAAUAAAUUGAAAUAUUUUAAAAAAUAUUUUUAAUAUUAGUUCUCUAAAAGAGAUAAAAAAGAAAGUGAAAAACUUCUCGGGUGCGUUUGGUUUGCGCUAUCUUUUAAGAUUCCUAAUAAUCCAAUAGGAAUAAAAAAAUAUGACGGUGUUUGGCUAAACGCACAAAGUAAUCUAGUUGGUAAUACUGGAUUUACUUGGGAAUGAGAUGCAUCCCAGAGUACUAAUCUCAUUCCUUUGAGGGAGGAUGGGUAUCCUUAUAUUAAUGGAUUGGAAUUAUUAUAAUAUGUCUAAUCUCUUUUUUUCUUUCCUACCCGCCGGCUAGUUGGUAUUAUUUUUCUUUAUACUCUAACCUCAUAUCUCUCUCUAAACUUAUCUUUUUAUUUCUAAACUUCAACCCUUUUUUCUCUCUCUAAAUUAAGCUAUUUCUCAACCUCUUUUUCUAAAAUCUCAACCCUCUCAUUCUCUCUAACCUCGACUAUAUUUCUCUUCCUAUUUCUUUAAUUAUGCUAUCUCUUUCUAACCUAUAUUCUCUCUCUCUUUUUUUCUAAAAAGAUGUUGAAAUUUUUUAUAGUAUUAUUUAAAAUUAAAUAAAUAAAUAAAUAAAUUGUAUAUAUUUUUCGUAAUCUUAAAUAACAUGACUAAAUAAUAUGACCGAACAAACCAAACACCGAAAUACUACAUUCUUAGUAAUAGGAUGAAUAGGAAUAAGAUUCUCCGAUAUCUUUUUACUCCUAGUAAUCUUUCAUAGUGAGAACCAAACGCGCCCUUCAGGGUAUAUAUCACACCUCGGAUUAUCACGUUUGCCCGGGCACGCCAACAGACCCACCAUAUACAUAGAAAUUUUUCGUGUAUACGAAGCGAUAGCUGUACCUGUAAUCAAAUCAUAGCUACAACCAAGAGUAUAGAGCUACUAGAACUAAAACAUAUAUAAAAUAUAAAGGGUUCAAUGUACAUACAAAGUCCACAAUAACAUCUCGCUCCAGCGAGUACCACAACUACAUAACAAUAUGUACAUAAAACCCAAAACUACCUCUGAUU
rnacentral:lncRNA from 1 species